CAACAAGUGAUGAAAUUGCAAGUCAGGAGCCCGCCUGAAGAAUAGAGUGAUGAAACUCAAAUGCGCGGACUGGAACCUCAUCGGGACCUCACUCGACUCUUCAACUCGGUAAAGUCCAUCUCCUUUCAAUCCUUUGAGAAUCCUGUCACUUGAUUCCCUCAUAACUUGGGUAGGUAGGGUGUCCUAAGUCAAUACUCGAUUGCUCUUCUUUCUUCUAUUUUUCCUUCGAAUAAUGAUCGGGACAAAAUUCUGUCUUGUUGUCUACUUCUUUGUUCAAAAAUACUUUGUGUUUACAUUCAAAGGGGGCAUGAUGUAGACACCUAAUUUUGUCCCUUCCCUAUAUCAUUUUUACACAUUUUUACCUUAUCCUACCGCGUACCCUACCCCGUGUGAUAAUCUCCACAAAAUGACAAAAAUAACAAUCCCUAGCUAAUUUUAUCUUAUCCUAACAACCCAUCCAAUCAAAAUAAACCACAUCACAUCCUACCCCUACCCGCACCUCACUAGCCCACCUACCCUACUCCACUACCACACAAUUCUCACUCACUGUAAUUCACAAUAUACACACGCACUUCACACAGAAACUGGGAGGCGAAUACAUAAGAAUACAAUAGAUAACAAUACAGAGAUGUCCACACAGUAACAUUCUGACCAUUUUUUUCCAUUUUUAGAGAAGACCCAUAUACCACGAACACACCUACACGCCAUGGACGAACAUCACGGUAACCAUAAAGAAAAAGAUCUCAAUUCAACAUAUACACAUAUAGAAUACGGGAAAGAGGAAUAUAUAGACACCAUCACUGAUGAGUUUAUUCCAUUAAUACACCUGCCUUCACACAAAACCAUUAUACAUACACACAACCACAGUGAGAGACAAAUCUGAGCGUGAGAUCGGAGAGAAGACAAUCCAAAUUGAGAAAGGGAGAGAAUCGAUCGAAGAGAGGGAAUACAUGAGAAAAAGGACGACUGGUUUGGUUUUUUCGGCGAGUUUCUCGCCGAAAUCGGUAUUCCCUUACCGGAAUUAGACCAUCCGCACCCUCAAAAUCUUCGAAUUCUCUUUCAUUUCUAGUUCUCUGGCAAAAUCUCACUGGGAAAACAUUGUUUCGCUGACUGUCGAGAUCCAUCGGAGCUUCAGCGAGUUCGAACUUCACCAAAAAUAACAAACCUGGCAUGACUCAUUUCAAGCUUGGUUCAAAAAUUGAGAUUUGGAUUUUUUUUGUGGCUUUCUCCGCUGUUUUGGGGUUUUGAUCGAGUUGGCAAGUUUGUGAUUGAGGUAUGAAUCAAGGUUCUCGACGCGGAUUGUACCGGGUUUUUAUUGGAAUAAUACAUCAAUUUUGAAAGCUUCUUCUAAGGUCCAAUUCUUCAACUCCUUCUCUUUGUUUUACUUAAUUUGGUGAGGUGAUGUUGUGAGUUGCGUGGUUCAUGUUGAUUGAUGAUAUAAUUUUUUAUAGUAUGUUUGAACGUCUAUGAUUAUCGUAGUUUUGAUUCUGUAUUGGAAUUGGUUAAUUGAUCAAGAAUAAAAGUGAGAUGGGAUUUGAAAA